rnacentral:rRNA from 1 species
ACACGUGCUACAAUGGUGCGUACCGAGGGAACAAACCCUCGAGGGGGAGCUAAUCUCACAAGAUCGGAGUCUGCAACUCGACUCCGUGAAGUCGGAAUCGCUAGUAAUCGCGAAUCAGAAUGUUGCGGGAAAUACGUUCCCGGGCCUUGUACACACCGCCCGUCACACCAUGGGAGUGGAUUGCACCAGAAGUGGUUAGUCUAACCUUCAGGGGGACGAUCACCAACCGGGUG